GCAGCAGUGGGGAAUCUUGCGCAAUGGUCUAACGGCUGACGCAGCGACGCCGCGUGUGGGAUGAAGCUCUUCGGAGUGUAAACCACUGUUGCCCGGGACGAACAGCUCGAUUAAUCGAGCCUGACGGUACCGGGUGAGGAAGCACCGGCUAACUCCGUGCCAGCAGCCGCGGUAAUACGGGGGGUGCGAGCGUUGUCCGGAAUCACUGGGCGUAAAGGGCGCGUAGGUGGUUUGAUAAGGGUGUGGUGAAAGUCCGGGGCUCAACCCCGGAUCUGCCGUGCCGACUGUCAAACUCGAGGGCUGUAGAGGCAGACGGAAUUCCGGGUGUAGCGGUGGAAUGCGUAGAGAUCCGGAGGAAGACCGGUGGCGAAGGCGGUCUGCUGGGCAGUUUCUGACGCUGAUGCGCGACAGCGUGGGGAGCAAACAGGAUUAGAUACCCUGGUAGUCCACGCCGUAAACGAUGGGUACUAGGUGCCUGGGGGAGCGACCCUCUGGGUGCCGGCGCUAACGCAGGAAGUACCCCGCCUGGGGAGUACGACCGCAAGGUUGAAACUCAAAGGAAUUGACGG
rnacentral:rRNA from 1 species